rnacentral:rRNA from 1 species
UACGAAGGGGGCUAGCGUUGCUCGGAAUCACUGGGCGUAAAGCGCACGUAGGCGGCUUCUUAAGUCAGGGGUGAAAUCCUGGAGCUCAACUCCAGAACUGCCUUUGAUACUGAGAAGCUUGAGUCCGGGAGAGGUGAGUGGAACUGCGAGUGUAGAGGUGAAAUUCGUAGAUAUUCGCAAGAACACCAGUGGCGAAGGCGGCUCACUGGCCCGGUACUGACGCUGAGGUGCGAAAGCGUGGGGAGCGAACAGG